GACGAACGCUGGCGGCGUGCCUAAUACAUGCAAGUAGAACGCUGAAGGAGGAGCUUUCUUCUCUGGAUGAGUUGCGAACGGGUGAGUAACGCGUAGGUAACCUGCCUGGUAGCGGGGGAUAACUCUUGGAAACGAUAGCUAAUACCGCAUAAGAGUAGAUGUCGCAUGACAUUUGCUUAAAAGGUGCAAUUGCAUCACUACCAGAUGGACCUGCGUUGUAUUAGCUAGUUGGUGAUGUAACGGCUCACCAAGGCAACGAUACAGAGCCGACCUGAGAGGGGGAUCGGCCACACUGGGACUGAGACACGGCCCAGAAUUCUAAGGGAGGCAGCAGUAGGGGAUCUUCGGCAAUGGACGGAAGGCUGAACGAGCCAAGCCGCGGGAGUGAAGAAGGUUGUCGGAUCGUAAAGCUCUGUUGUAAGAGAAGAAAGAGUGUGAGAGUGGAAAGUGCACGCUGUGACGGUAGCUUAUCAGAAAGGGACGGCUAACUACGUG
rnacentral:rRNA from 1 species